UUUACUAAUUCUAACUUCCCUUUGAGGUAGAUCCUAGUAUUCCCAUUUUAUGGAUGGGGUCACACGGAGGUUAAGUAAACUACUUAUAGUCCUAAAAAUAGGAAGUGGUUGGUUUGGCCUGGGACUGAAACACAAGCCUCAACUGGAGUCUACACAUAUUGGGAAGAGAAACCUGUGAGAAUUCUGUUGGGUUAGAAGGCCUAUACAAAGAAAGAAGUGAAAACUUGAAGAAGUGAUUAGAGUUGGAAGUUUAAUACCAUUUUAAUGAAGGGAAAAGUUACUGGACAACAAAAGAAGAGUUUUAGGGACCAUAAAUUAUGUGGCUUUUUAGGUUUCCUGGCUCCUUUGGGGCUUAUUGUUUGGAAGAGUCAGUGCAAGUUUGUCAAUAGUAGCCCUGAGUCUACCUAAACUAUUUCGUGGCCAGAAACUGACAGUGAAACAUUUCAACAGAAACCAAGCCCUCCAAAGUGAACUUUCUAAAUGGUGUGCUGAAUCUGAGAAUUUCAACCUUAUUUUUCUGUUGGGUAAAAAUCAUUCUCUUUUAUUGCCCUGUACUCACUUUUAUUUUAUUUU